AUAUUAUUAAGCGGAGGAAAAGAAACUAACAAGGAUUCCCCUAGUAACGGCGAGUGAAGCGGGAAAAGCUCAAAAUGAAAAUCGAGUGCACUCAACAGUCAUUCGAGUUGUAAUCUAAAGGCUUGUUUUCUGCGAGUGACCCGGGUAUAACUCUUUUGAAACAAGGGAUCAUAGAGGGUGAAAAUCCCGUCCAUGACCCGGAGUUCGCCGCGUACGAUACAUGUCCAAAGAGUCGAGUAGCUUGGGAUUGCUGCUCAAAAUGGGUGGUAAACCCCAUCUAAAGCUAAAUAUUGGCCAGAGACCGAUAGCGAACAAGUACCGUGAGGGAAAGAUGAAAAGAACUUUGAAAAGAGAGUUAAAAAGUACUUGAAAUUGCUAAGAGGGAACCUGUGGAAACCAGUCAUUCUCUGAGCUAUACUUACUACCUGCUAUUGGAGGGCGGCGGUGCGUAGUUCCCUAGGUCUGCGCCCGUUGUCGGACAUUUAGUAGGUGGGUCCUGUAGUUUAGAGAGUGUCAGAGUCAGUUCAUCUCGCCGGAGAAAACCAGAGGGAAGGUAGGGUAGUGGGUUUCUCACAUACCUGUUAAGCCCUUUGGCGAUACGGUGGGGUGGACUGAGGUAAAGAAAAGGCACCCCUCCUCGUGGGGGCAAAGUUACCCGCUCCUGUUUCGUCAUUAGGGGUGGCCAACAAAGUUGUCCCCUCUAAGAAGCGGAAUACUGGGUGGGCUUACUAUUCGUGUCUUCGCGAUUCUGACGAAAUGGUUUUCACUGA
rnacentral:rRNA from 1 species